GAUGAAGAACGUAGCGAAAUGCGAUAAGUAAUGUGAAUUGCAGAAUUCAGUGAAUCAUCGAAUCUUUGAACGCACCUUGCGCCCUUUGGCUAUUCCGAAGGGCAUGCCUGUUUGAGUAUCAUGAACACCUCAACUCUCAUGGUUUGCCAUGAUGAGCUUGGACUCUGGGGGUCUUGCUGGCCUAUGGUCAGCUCCUCUCAAAUAAAUCAGCUUGCCAGUGUUUGGUGGCAUCACAGGUGUGAUAACUAUCUAUGCUUGUGGUUUUCCAUCAGGUAACCUUCAGUGAUGGAGGUUCGCUGGAGCUCAUAAAUGUCCCUCCUCAGCGAGGACAGCUUUUUGAACGUUUGAUCUCAAAUCAGGUAGGACUACCCGCUGAACUUAAGCAUAUCAAUAAGCGGAGGA
rnacentral:misc_RNA from 1 species